CGGAAAGCUCUAAGACCCUGGACACCUGGCAGCCGAAGGCGGAGAGCUACGUGUAAUUACCGAUCCACAGAUUCACAGAUGCAUGAUGGGACAAACAGACGCACACCACCCGAUUGGCUGGCUGAGGACAAAAGGGACGUAGUGGCUGCUGUUGUGGUGUCUGAUCGCCUUUAAGGAGAGGUAGGAAGCCUCCACCUACGGGUCCCCGGGCUGGGUAGUUCUUCAGAACCUUGUUUUUUGGACCUCCUGGCAGUGAUGGCCCAGAUGAAGCCUCUGGACCAGGAAACAUUGAAUGGAAAGCGAUUCCUGACGCCGGUUCCCCUCACCGUGGUCUCUGGUGCCCUCUGGUGGCCGAAGCAGGGAAGUGCAGCUCAGUCUACAAGCAGGAAAAGGCUCCUUCCUCAUCUCUGCCGGCGCUACAAAGCUGAUAUAUCAGCUUGUAAUUAUCCAGCCAUAACCCCCUCUGAUAUUAAAAUAUAUAGAAAUAAUGAAUUGUCCUUUUUAAACAUUUUUAACAAUAAAAUUCCCCCGUUUGACCAUC